rnacentral:rRNA from 1 species
UACAGAGGUCCCAAGCGUUGUUCGGAUUCACUGGGCGUAAAGGGUGCGUAGGUGGUUAAAUAAGUUUGAUGUGAAAUCUCCGAGCUUAACUCGGAAACUGCAUUGAAUACUGUUUGACUAGAGGAUUGGAGGGGGGACUGGAAUUCUCGGUGUAGCAGUGAAAUGCGUAGAUAUCGAGAGGAACACCAGUGGCGAAGGCGAGUCCCUGGACAACUCCUGACACUGAGGCACGAAAGCUAGGGGAGCAAACAGG